GAGAGGGAGAGGCGGCGGCGGCAGCUGGAGGAUGAAGAAGGACCAUGUGCUGCACUGUCAGUUCUCUGCCUGGUAUCCGCUGUUCCGAAGCCUUACCAUCAAGGGCAUCAUUCUUCCACUUCCUCAGAAUGUGAAGGAUUAUUUACUCGACGAUGGAACUCUGGUGGUUUCAAGAAGGGAAGAUCCACCAACACAUUCUCAACCAGACAGUGAUGAUGAGGCAGAAGAAAUACAGUGUACGAAUGAUGAGAGCACGGCUACGCUUACGGCACCGGAAUUUCCCGAGUUGACCACGAAAGUCCAAGAAGCAAUCAAUUCCCUGGGGGCCAGUGCAUUUCCUAAGCUUAACUGGAGUGCCCCAAGGGAUGCAUACUGGAUAGCAUUGAACAGUUCUCUGAAAUGUAAAACCCUCAGCGGCAUCUUUCUAUUGUUCAAGAGUUCUGAAUUCAUCACUCGUGACUUCACUCAGCCAUUUAUUCAUUGUACUGAUGAUUCUCCAGAUCCUUGUAUAGAAUAUGAGCUUGUUCUUCAAAAAUGGUGUGAAUUAAUUCCUGGGGCUGAGUUCCGAUAUUUUGUCAAGGAAAACAAGCUUAUUGGUAUUUCUCAAAGGGACUAUACACAGUACUAUGAUCAUAUUUCUAAACAAAAGGAAGAGAUUUGCAGAUGCAUACAAGACUUUUUUAAGAAACACAUACAAUACAAAUUUUUGGAUGAAGACUUUGUGUUCGAUAUAUAGAAAGACAGCAGGAGGAAGGUGUGGCUGAUUGAUUUUAAUCCAUUUGGUGAAGUAGCUGAUUCACUACUGUUUACUUGGGAAGAACUGAUAUCUGGAAGAAAUUUAAAAGGUGAUUUUAGUGAAGGAGGUGCUCUGGAGCAGGAUUCUCCAACUUUCCGUUGUACAAACAGUGAAGUGACGGUUCAAUCCAGUCCCUAUCUGAGUUACCGACUUCCCAAGGACUUUGUAGAUCUGUUUACUGGGGAGGAUGCUCACAAACUCAUAGAUUUUCUUAAACUGAAAAGAAAUCAGCAAGAUGACUGAUUAGAAUGCCAGAGUUGAGUCCGAGGUACAGAGGAAACCACCUUGGCAUCAGGAGCCUGCUCUGAGCUCACAACUUCCUGUUACCCCACUCAGGUUGGGGUGGGAGACAGAGUGAAAUCAAUAGCUUUUUAUAUCCAUGUAUAUUAAGCUGGGAAAAAAUGGAGGGACUUUGCUACUUGUAAAAAUAAAUAAUAAAUAGAUCUUAAAUAUAGGAAA